GAGGGGUGAUGCCCAAUUCCCUCAACCAGGUGGGCCACACAUAAUCAUGACCAUCCAUCGCGGUCCAUUCAACAAGGAAGAAUGAGUCUAGAUGAACAGGAUAUAGAAACUUUUGGAACGUAUCUUUUCUAUUCCAAGUUUUCUCCUCAUCCAGGAUCAGUAGUUUUUUUUGUUCCUUUUUUUUUUAAAAGACACAAGGUGUCCCCACCUCUUUUUGAAGUGAGACUAAUCCCUGCGGAUACACGCAAUCACCCACAACCACGUGUAUCGGGUAAAGCCAAGGAGGGGAAUCGAACCCUCACCUAUAGGGAGCAAACCUACAGUGAUGAUUUAAACGUGGGUCCAGACUGGUUUCUGUAGUGGUUCUCACUAAUGCUCUUCCCUUGACAAGAUUUCCUGCAACUGUAUCAGAUAGUUUUUAGAGAAGAUGGUAAAUUAUGAGAUUUAUAAUUAAUUUAGUCAUAACGUGGUCAAAUAUUGUACAUGGCACUUUUCAACUACAAUUUUUUUUUUUUUCUUAUAACAGUGAUUUAUUUACGUAGUAUGUGUGCCACCAUCUUUCUCAGAUUUGAGUUGUGAAAUCAAGAAAUGACAUGCUGUCUUGGGUUAUGACUUCGAUGACUAGGUGUUUUUAAUGCUCAUGUCAAAUAUGAAGAUGGCUAUUAUAAUCCGGGCUUUCUUUCAAACAAACUGGUAAUCAGCUUCGACACAUGCCAGUUCUCUUUAUAGCACACUGGAAUACUGGAUUAUUCUUGUAAAUCUGAGCAAACGACAGGCACAAUAAAUGUUUUUUUUUUUUUUGUUAGCUUUUUAGUACAUCCACUGUCAGUUCACACUUCACUGUUAGCCACCUGCACUACGGAAUCGAUACCAAGACAGGCACAAUAAAUGGUUUCACUGCAACAAAUGCAUGGCACACUGAUAAUUUUCUGUCUAAAUUGGGGGAGGAACUAAGUGGAAGGCAAAAUGGAUUGUGGACUGGGAAGAUAUUUUCUUUGUAAGAAUGGGUCUUUCUCAGCCAGCUGGAUUAGACCAGUCGCUGGUUCUUUCUACCAGGAACUUGCAGAUCUGGGGAUUCUCUUAUCAUUUGGAACGUGGAAUUCCUUGAGAUGGAAGAGGAUUAGGCAGGUGUUUUCUCUGUUUGAUCGGAGCUGUCAUGGUUGGGGUUUGGCCUGGGAUUUCAUGUUUAUUAGUGCGAUCUUGUUCCUGAUGGUGCUUCCACUCUUCACAACGAUCAUAUGGUUCACAGUAUUGUAUUUUGCCUUCAGUCCCAUUAGUCGUCAAACUGUGGCUCAUAUGCUUUUGUGGUCUAUCAUCAUUAGAUUCUACACUUGCCUGCUGAAUCUUGUGGACAUUGAAUUAUUUGCAAAGUGUUACUUGUUUAUGUCAAUUUGGGGGAAUUAUAUGCACACGUUUUAUGUCUUUGUCAUGGGACCGAUAAGGUGGGGACCCUUGAUUAGGGUCGGAGGGUCUGAAAGGACGAUUGGGGCAAGACCUAGAAGGACCUGGCUUGAGGUCGUGUGAGAAUGGGUACAACGGUUUGUUACACUUCACUUAGGAUAGGGCUGUAGGAAUGAUUGGCGAAACAGGAUCCACAAAACUAACCCGAAAUAGGUGGGGCAAGGCUGUGAUGACGAUUGAAGUUGAUGAUUGUGGAUCAUUGCUCAUGCUCAGUGCGUACAUGGAGUAUGGAAAUAACUCGUAUAUGUAUGUUGAUAGUUAUACAUCUUUGUAGGUCUUGUAGGCCUUUCCUACAAAAGUUUCUAGUUUUUGAGCAUUUAUUUACAUAUUGAUUAGGGCUGCAACUUGGGUUGAGGUUGACCUUAGCCCGACCCAAACCCAACUGACCCAACCCGACCUCUAGUUGGAUUUUGCAGGUCCUUUGGGUUGGUUAGGGUUGGAAAACUCCAACCCCAUCUGAAAUCGGAUGAGCAAAUUCGGGUCAGGUUAGGUCGGGUUGGGAAUAGUCACAUGUAUUUUAUUUUGGAUUAGGUUGGGAUGGGUAGAGUCGGUUUAGGGUUGAGUAUAGAGGAACUGAGGAUGGUUUCGGGUUGGGAACCUUAGGUUGUAAUUUGGGUCAGGUCAAGUUGUGAGUUGGGUCCUCUUGAGGUCAGAUCAGGCUCAGGUUGACCUUCAACCUGAUUCAACCUCCCGAAGUCGCACCCCUACAUAUGCUAACGGGGUUCAUUAUAAAUUAAACAGACUUAUUGAGUAUACCCUUCUGAAACUUCAUCAUUGUAGAGCUCCAAUUAUAGCGCCAGCCAUGCUGGCUGCACAACAUGCAAGAUCCGAUACUUCCCAAAUUCAAUGGGAAUAAUCUGAACAAUAAGAUCAUCUUGUCAGUGUGAUUGUUGGUCUAUGCUCUGUCGUGUACAGGGUUGAGUAUGGAGUAAUUGAGGUUGGUUUCAGGUUGGGAACCCUUGGUUGGAAUUUGGGUCGGACUGGGUUGUGAGUUGGGUCCUCUUGAGGUCAGAUCAGGCUCAGGUUGACCCAACCCGCCCAAGUCGCACCCCUACAUAUGCUAACAGCACAUUAGGGUUCAUUAUAAGUUAGACAGACUAAUUGAGUAGAUCCUUUUGAAUCUUCAUCAUUGUAGAGCUACUCCUAAAACCUUUCAAAAAGAAAAAAAAGAAAA